UUGGUCGUAGAAAGGAGAGAUGGUUGGAAUCUCCCUCGACAAGGAUGGGAACAGUCUUCGGACUUUCCUUUCACAAACCCACACAGAACACAACACUUGUAGUGGCUCAUCAGAUCGAUUCCCAAUCCUUUC
rfam:Picea glauca, whole genome shotgun sequence.